CCUACGGGUGGCAGCAGUAGGGAAUCUUCCACAAUGGGCGCAAGCCUGAUGGAGCAACACCGCGUGAGUGAAGAAGGGUUUCCGCUCGUAAAGCUCUGUUGUUGGAGAAGAACGUGCGUGCGAGUAACCGUCCACGCAGUGACGGUAUCAACCCAGAGCGUCACGGCUAACUACGUGCCAGCAGCCGUGGUAAUACGUAGGUGGCAAGCGUUAUCCGGAUUUAUUGGGCGUAAAGCGAGCGCAGGCGGUUGCGUAGGUCUGAUGUGAAAGCCUUCGGCUUAACCGAGGAAGUGCAGCGGAAACCGGGCGACUUGAGUGCAGAAGGGGACAGUGGAACUCAAUGUGUAGCGGUGGAAUGCGUAGAUAUAUGGAAGAACACCAGUGGCGAAGGCGGCUGUCUGGGCUGCAACUGACGCUGAGGCUCGAAAGCAUGGGUAGCGAACAGGAUUAGAUACCCUUGUAGUC
rnacentral:rRNA from 1 species